UGGCGGCUAUUGAUGGCGGUCGUUGUUGUUGAAGGAAGGUGGCAGGUGGGUUGAUGUUGGCGGUUGUUGAUGAAGGAUGGUCGCAGGUGGGUGGUGAUCGUUGAAGUUUGAUGAAGGAUGGUGGCAAGUGGAGUGGGUUUUUCAUCUUACACAAUUGAAGAUCUUCAUCCAGAUCUUGAAGAUCUAACUCAUUUUCAGAUCCGGUUUGAUGUUGAAGAUGACCCCAAAGAUCCUCGAGGUCCAUAACUUUGUUUGGAAAUCUACACUUUGAAGAUGAUGUUUCAGAUGUUGAAGAUGAUGUUUCAGAUGUU
rnacentral:lncRNA from 1 species